UACGUAGGGUGCAAGCGUUGUCCGGAAUUAUUGGGCGUAAAGAGCUCGUAGGCGGUUUGUCGCGUCGAAUGUGAAAACCCGGGGCUCAACCCCGGGCCUGCAUUCGAUACGGGCAGACUAGAGUUCGGUAGGGGAGUCUGGAAUUCCUGGUGUAGCGGUGGAAUGCGCAGAUAUCAGGAGGAACACCAAUGGCGAAGGCAGAUCUCUGGGCCGUAACUGACGCUGAGGAGCGAAAGCAUGGGGAGCGAACAGG
rnacentral:rRNA from 1 species